rnacentral:lncRNA from 7 species
ACUGUCCCCAGGCUGCUCCUGCCUCAUGGCACCAAUGGCACUGAACCUCAUUCUCGGUGAGUGACCAUGGGGACGUGGUGCCACGGGGGUUGGUGGCCAGUGUGGGACCAGGACUGUGUCCCUUGCAGGUUGGUGGCUGUGGCAGCGAGCAGGGCACAGCAAGGUGCUGCAGGCAGUUCUCAUGGGAACCUGGUGGUGGCAGUGG